UACGUAGGGUGCAAGCGUUAAUCGGAAUUACUGGGCGUAAAGCGUGCGCAGGCGGUUCUCCAAGUCCGUUGUGAAAGCCCCGGGCUCAACCUGGGAAUGGCAGUGGAAACUAGGGGACUUGAAUCUGGCAGAGGGGGGUGGAAUUCCACGUGUAGCAGUGAAAUGCGUAGAGAUGUGGAGGAACACCGAUGGCGAAGGCGGCAUCCUGGACCGGUAUUGACGCUGAGGCGCGAAAGCCAGGGGAGCAAACGGG
rnacentral:rRNA from 1 species